GGUCUUAUAGUCAAUAAUGAUAUUAAAUUGCAAAUUUAAAGGAGUAAUAAUUACUAAGGCUU
rnacentral:tRNA from 1 species